UGAAUAUUCUUGUAGGUAAGAUUUUUAUAGCUAAUAUUCAAAUUUAGGGUUCAGAAAUUUAUUUAUUUUUGGGAGAAGAUUUGAACAAAUAUGAUCGGAAUCUUUUGAAGCAACCUUAUACGUGAUUGAAGAUCAUGCCGCAAUUACAGUGUGAAGUCGUUGUAAAGGCUACCACAAUAGCAAUGUCGUAACCGCACUUGUAAACGUGGACUACAAUUUGAAAUUGUCUAUAACAUUCUUCCAAAAAGAAUGUUUAGAAUGAUUAUUUAUGCAAUAUUUUUU
rnacentral:lncRNA from 1 species